AGGGAUGAGCACCACUGGUAUAGUAUAUGCCGGCAGCUUGCUCUCUGCAACUGUCAUAUGGUCACCCACUGAAGCUACCCGGUCAGUACCUGAAUGGGAGACCACAUGGGAAUCGCCUCAUCCAGG
rnacentral:rRNA from 1 species